GAUGAACGCUGGCGGCGUGCCUAAUACAUGCAAGUUGAGCGAACAGACGAGGAGCUUGCUCCUCUGACGUUAGCGGCGGACGGGUGAGUAACACGUGGAUAACCUACCUAUAAGACUGGGAUAACUUCGGGAAACCGGAGCUAAUACCGGAUAAUAUAUUGAACCGCAUGGUUCAAUAGUGAAAGACGGUUUUGCUGUCACUUAUAGAUGGAUCCGCGCCGCAUUAGCUAGUUGGUAAGGUAACGGCUUACCAAGGCAACGAUGCGUAGCCGACCUGAGAGGGUGAUCGACCACACUGGAACUGAGACACGGUCCAGACUCCUACGGGAGGCAGCAGUAGGGAAUCUUCCGCAAUGGGCGAAAGCCUGACGGAGCAACGCCGCGUGAGUGAUGAAGGUCUUCGGAUCGUAAAACUCUGUUAUUAGGGAAGAACAAAUGUGUAAGUAACUAUGCACGUCUUGACGGUACCUAAUCAGAAAGCCACGGCUAACUACGUG
rnacentral:rRNA from 1 species